AGCCCAGCUUGCUGGGUGGAUUAGUGGCGAACGGGUGAGUAACACGUGAGCAACCUGCCCCUGACUCUGGGAUAAGCGCUGGAAACGGCGUCUAAUACUGGAUAUGACCCAUCACCGCAUGGUGUGUGGGUGGAAAGAUUUUUCGGUUGGGGAUGGGCUCGCGGCCUAUCAGCUUGUUGGUGAGGUAAUGGCUCACCAAGGCGACGACGGGUAGCCGGCCUGAGAGGGUGACCGGCCACACUGGGACUGAGACACGGCCCAGACUCCUACGGGAGGCAGCAGUGGGGAAUAUUGCACAAUGGGCGGAAGCCUGAUGCAGCAACGCCGCGUGAGGGAUGACGGCCUUCGGGUUGUAAACCUCUUUUAGCAGGGAAGAAGCGAAAGUGACGGUACCUGCAGAAAAAGCACCGGCUAACUACGUGCCAGCAGCCGCGGUAAUACGUAGGGUGCAAGCGUUAUCCGGAAUUAUUGGGCGUAAAGAGCUCGUAGGCGGUUUGUCGCGUCUGCUGUGAAAUCCCGAGGCUCAACUUCGGGCUUGCAGUGGGUACGGGCAGACUAGAGUGCGGUAGGGGAGAUUGGAAUUCCUGGUGUAGCGGUGGAAUGCGCAGAUAUCAGGAGGAACACCGAUGGCGAAGGCAGAUCUCUGGGCCGUAACUGACGCUGAGGAGCGAAAGGGUGGGGAGCAAACAGGCUUAGAUACCCUGGUAGUCCACCCCGUAAACGUUGGGAACUAGUUGUGGGGUCCUUUCCACGGAUUCCGUGACGCAGCUAACGCAUUAAGUUCCCCGCCUGGGGAGUACGGCCGCAAGGCUAAAACUCAAAGGAAUUGACGGGGACCCGCACAAGCGGCGGAGCAUGCGGAU
rnacentral:rRNA from 1 species